CUGUCCUGAAGAAAUCUAGGGUUUCAGUCGAAGAACGAGAAGAUUCGGAUGAGGUUUGAAUGGAUCUGAAAUUGAAGAUGGGUUUGAUUCAGAUGAGGUUUUUGGUUUUGUGGAUUGUGAAAUGAAGUUGAGGAUUUGAAAUGAGGGUUCUCGUGGUGCUGCUGGUGUGAACAGUGGAGAGAAAUUAGAAGAUUGAAAUGGGUUGAACAGGUUGAAGGUUGCUGUUGAAGAUGAAUGACUAGAUGAAUGUUUAGUGAAAGUGCAGGAAGGAAGAAUGGGAAAAAGGGUUGAAGUCAGAUUCAAUUGUGAGCUGGUGUUGGUGGUGAAUGGGUGAAUGUUUGGUACCCAGUUCCAACUCCAAUUUUCUCUUAAAACUCCUUUGGAUCUUAAACGGAGCUGCUCAAAAGAAGUUAAAGGAUAAGAUGGCUGAAUUUCAGACCUUAAGGCAACAUAUCAGCCGAGAGCACCGAGAGGAUGUCGAGAGAAGG